GAUGAAGAACGUAGCGAAAUGCGAUAAGUAGUGUGAAUUGCAGAAUUCAAUGAAUCAUCGAAUCUUUGAACGCACAUUGCGCCCUUUGGUAUUCCUUAGGGCAUGCCUGUUCGAGCGUCAUUUAAACCUUCAAGCUCAGCUUGGUGUUGGGUGACUGUCCGCUUCACCGCGGACUCGCCUCAAAAUUAUUGGCGGCCGGUACAUUGGCUUCGAGCGCAGCAGAAACGCGAACUCGGGCCCGUCGUAUUGGCUCCCAGAAGCUAUCUUCACAAUUUUGACCUCGGAUCAGGUAGGGAUACCCGCUGAACUUAAGCAUAUCAAUAAGCGGAGGA
rnacentral:misc_RNA from 1 species